rnacentral:rRNA from 1 species
UGAAUACGAGACGCUACGGCGUCGAAGCAGUCUAUGUCAUACUUCCAAGAAAAGCUUGCACUGUCAUAAACAAAUAAUGCCUGUACCAUAACCGACACAGGUGGGUAGGUAGAGUAUACUAAGGGGCGCGAGAUAACUCUCUCUAAGGAACUCGGCAAAAUGACUCCGUAACUUCGGGAGAAGGAGUGCCUUAUUUAUAAGGUUGCAAUAACAAGAUCCAAGCAACUGUUUAUCAAAAACACAGGUCUCCGCUAAGUCGUAAGACGAUGUAUGGGGGCUGACGCCUGCCCAGUGCCAGAAGGUUAAAGAAGUUGGUUAGCAUUAGCGAAGCUGAUAACUGAAGCCCUGGUGAACGGCGGCCGUAACUAUAACGGUCCUAAGGUAGCGAAAUUCCUUGUCGGGUAAGUUCCGACCCGCACGAAAGGCGUAAUGAUUUGGAUACUGUCUCGGAGAGGGGCUCGGUGAAAUAGACUUGUCUGUGAAGAUGCGGACUACCUGCACCUGGACAGAAAGACCCUAUGAAGCUUUACUGUAACCUGAAAUUGAAAUUGGACUUUAUUUGCGCAGUAUAGGUGGGAGGCGUUGAGAAUAUUCUUGCGGGAAUAUUGGAGCCAUCAGUGAGAUACCACUCUUGUAAUGUUAGAUUUCUAACUUUGAAUCAUUAUCUGGUCAAAGAACAGUUUCAGGCGGGCAGUUUGACUGGGGCGGUCGCCUCCUAAAUGGUAACGGAGGCGCACAAAGGUUUCCUCUGAACGGGUAGAAAUCGUAUCUAGAGUGUAAAGGCAUAAGGAAGCUUGACUGUGAGACCUACAAGUCGAGCAGGGACGAAAGUCGGUCUUAGUGAUCUGACGGUGCUGAGUGGAAAGGCCGUCACUCAACGGAUAAAAGUUACUCUAGGAUAACAGGCUGAUCUCCCCCAAGAGUUCACAUCGACGGGGAGGUUUGGCACCUCGAUGUCGGCUCAUCGCAUCCUGGGGCGGUAGUACGUCCCAAGGGUUGGGCUGUUCGCCCAUGAAAGCGGUACGCGAGCUGGGUUCAGAACGUCGUGAGACAGUUCGGUCCAUAUCCGGUGUAGGCGUUAGAAUAUUGAGAGGAGCCUUCUUUAGUACGAGAGGACCGAGAAGGACAUACCUCUGGUGUACCAGUUAUCGUGCCAACGGUAAACGCUGGGUAGCUAUGUAUGGAGAGGAUAACCGCUGAAAGCAUCUAAGUGGGAAGCCCACCUCAAGAUAAG